rnacentral:misc_RNA from 1 species
AAAUAUAGAAGUUUUAGAAAAGCUAUUCAACGCAAUUGAUGAAAAUGAGGAUGGGCAUCUUUCCCGUACUGAAUUAAAAGCUCUGGUAGUAGGAAUCCGUUUGGAGGAGAUAAACUUACAUGAGAAUGAUGCUGUAGAAAAACUGAUGAAGGACUUCGAUACUUCACAUGAUCAUCAAGUUGAAAUGUCCGAGUUCAUUGCUGGAGUUACAAAAUGGCUUACUGAGGCCAGGGGUUCCGAGGCUCCUUCUCCUGAAGCUGGUCCUGAUACAAUGAAGUACCUCGAUGACUUGCAUGAGCAAACAAGGAG